AGAAUUGACGGGUUUAGAUCGAU
rnacentral:siRNA from 1 species